GAAUCUAUCUGGAGGAAAUCUCUCUGAAGAGGCUCUUGUUUCAAGUACUCUCAUUGUUUUUUCACUGACUCAGUGAGGAGGGAAACAAGCCCCUAGAGGUUUUCAUUUCUGGCACCAAGCAUCGGUCUGUGUGUAUGAACGGGAAGGUGCAACCCACUCCAAGGACAAUGCCAGGUAGAGAGUUUGAUUAGGGAGGUACACCUGUCAAACGAUAAUGCAGGUGUCCGAAGACAAGCUCAGGGAAGACAGAAACCUACCAUGGAGCAGAAGGGCAAAAGCUCACUUGGUCUUGAUUUUCAGAAUGAAAACUGACUGUGUAAAUGGAGCUGGGAGUACAGUGGCCACAAUUGGCCAUGGCUGGGUUUUCUUCUGGACUCAGAA
rnacentral:ncRNA from 1 species